ACGUAGGAGGCAAGCGUUAUCCGGAGUUACUGGGCGUAAAGCGCGCGCAGGCGGUUGGAUAAGUGGAUUGUCAAAGCACCUGGCUAAACCUGGGGAAGGCAGUUCAGACUGUCGAGCUAGAGCCAUCUAGAGGGACGUGGAAUUCGGGGUGUAGCGGUGAAAUGUGUAGAGAUCCCGAGGAACACCAGCGGUGAAGACGGCGUCCUGGGGGUGAGCUGACGCUGAGGCGCGAAGGCGUGGGGAGCAAACAGGAUUAGAGACCCUGGUAGUCCACGCGGUAAACGAUGUCGACUAGAUGUUCACUCCUACGGGAGUGAGUGUCGAAGCAAACGCGGUAAGUCGACCGCCUGGGAAGUACGGUCGCAAGGCUA
rnacentral:rRNA from 1 species